CAUGAGCUUCUCUCGCUUCUCCCCACUUUGCGCACCACCACCCACACAGCCAGCAGUAACUCUCUCCUCAACGACGCAACUUCGACUGGCCGAGUCUCCGAUCUGCACUAGGGACCAAUGGCACCAUCAACUCACCAUCCGUUCCUCGUCUGCAAAUUUGUACUUUCAAAGGGAACAUUAAUUACUAUUUGAGCUGCAGUAGGCUUCCAGCAAUUCUCAACUUAGAAGAAUAUCUCUGGCAUGGAUUUUUUGAAGGAAAUCACAGUCUCAUUAUAUUUUUACACCCAAUUGCGUUUGCUGGCUUUUUUAACACCAUAUGAGCAUUGAGUGCUAACUUCGGUCAGGCUCCUGCAAAGCAAGCAACAUUACGGGAAAGACUACCAAAUACAUUGAUGACUCCAUGUUGAUAUUACAGAUUUAUAAUCUUUUUUAUUUUUAGCAUCUUUUUACUAAUUUAAUGUAUCCCUGAUGUAAGAUAGCAUCGACUUUUUGACCUGUUAACACAUUGAUCCCUGUCCUAAUUACUGUGAUCAGUAAGCUUAAAUCUAUUUUCAGUAUAAUAAGACUAUUGCAUAAAUCAUGUUGUUUAUUCCUUAAUUACUUUGGUAUCACAUCAAUGAUUCACUCCUUAU